rnacentral:rRNA from 1 species
ACGUACACUCCUGCGGGAGGCAGCAGUGGGGAAUAUUGCACAAUGGGCGCAAGCCUGAUGCAGCCAUGCCGCGUGUAUGAAGAAGGCCUUCGGGUUGUAAAGUACUUUCAGCGGGGAGGAAGGCGAUAAGGUUAAUAACCUUGUUGAUUGACGUUACCCGCAGAAGAAGCACCGGCUAACUCCGUGCCAGCAGCCGCGGUAAUACGGAGGGUGCAAGCGUUAAUCGGAAUUACUGGGCGUAAAGCGCACGCAGGCGGUCUGUCAAGUCGGAUGUGAAAUCCCCGGGCUCAACCUGGGAACUGCAUUCGAAACUGGCAGGCUAGAGUCUUGUAGAGGGGGGUAGAAUUCCAGGUGUGGCGGUGAAAUGCGUAGAGAUCUGGAGGAAUACCGGUGGCGAAGGCGGCCCCCUGGACAAAGACUGACGCUCAGGUGCGAAAGCGUGGGGAGCAAACAGGAUUAGAAACCCUAGUAGUCCC